GGGUAUUAAUGGUGAGAUGAACAAACUGACAAGCCUUUCUGCUGCUGCAGUUUCUCAAGCGAUGGUUGCAGAUACUAAUUCCCUUUCUUCUCUCUUUGCUGCUUUAUUAGAGACCUUAGUCCAUGUACUUAAACCUAUUUGACAUAUAUAAGACGCAGGGAUGGCAAACCACAUAACCUUAACCUUCCAUGCCAAGCUCUCUAAGUUCAGACUUUUCAUCAAACAUAAAUCAUUCACCCUAGCCCUGAUAUUAGAUCAGAACCAACGCCAAUUCCUACUUUUGGUGGACAUGUAAGCGUACUCACUUACAACUGACGUGCUCUUCCUCUUAACAUGUCAAACUGAUCUUCACACAAACUCAUUCGCAGGUCGGUAAUGAUAACUCGGGCAAUGAUAUGCUAGGUUCUGGAGCUGUUUAAAAAACUUACACCACUGAUGGUGUAAAGUGUGAACAGUUGUGUCGCUGUGAACAUCGUUGGCGUCGGUACUUUUGCUAUUAUUACAUAGUAUAAGUUAGUGAAAACUAUGUAAUGGUUAAUCUUCAAGAGUAUAGGAGUUUUGAACACUGUUGUGGACUUUAGCUGAUGCUCUACUACCACUUUUUAAAAAGAAUCCUCUAGACACAAGUAUUCUACCUCUUUCGGUCAUGCUAAUUAUUGCUUCUGAUUCUUUUUCCUUCUCGAUUUUUUGUACACAGCAAGGCAACUACGUUUGCUCCUUUUUAGAAAUGUCCAUGGGAUCUCUGAUUUUCUACACAUAUAUAUAUCUGAUCCUUCAGUGCUUAUAAGUGCUUUUAUUAAAAAAAAAAAACUUUUGUACGUUGCCAGACAAACUACGUACUUUUCUUAAAAGUGUCAAUGUGAUUUCAGAUUUUCUACUCUCUUAUAUAUAUCGAAUCCUAUAAGUGCUACUGGAUAUUUUAAUAAUAUUCGUACACUGCAAGGCAAACUACAUUUGCUCUUAUAAGUGCAAAUUAAACUUCAUCAGAAAUACCAUUAGUCAUUGAGUGGUUACGUAAGAAUAGACCCAAGCUUCAUAACCCCGUCAAAAUUUCCGUAACAAUUAAGGGGGUGAUUGGUAGUUGCCGUACGUGCUGUCCACAGCCCUAUUUAUUUCUACAGCACCAAAUUCAGAGCAAUCAAGUUUUAAUUUUUUUUUGAAACCGCAGCUCUUGAAAUAACCUACAGCUGUACAAGUGCUCUGCAGAGCCAAAUAUUCAAAACAACUUUUUAGUGCUUCCAUAAAAUUCUACAGCAAUAAAAUUUAAAACCACAUCAAAAAGUCUACAUAUUUUUUUUCUACCACAAAUUUUUUAAAGCUACAGCCAUUACCAAUCGGACCCUAAAUUAAAAACAUUUUCCUGGAUCAAGACCCAUCUCUUUCUCUAGCUGUGGUGAAAAAAACCUUGCUGAAAUAGGUGAAUAUGUAAGUGAUCAAUCAAAAAAGAUUUACUGUUGGCUGAGGAAGAAGUUCUUUGCGUAACAACAAAUCUUUUGAUACAAAACAUAGAAAAAACACAUCAAAAUAGAAAAAAAUGUUUUUUUUUUGGAAAAACUAUAGAAAUAGAAGCAAUUGUUAAACAUUAAAUUUAACCAAGAUAAAACUUCUUUCUGCAGGCCACCCCUAAGAUAGACAAACAAUUUGUAAAAUAUGACAACGGCAAUAAUAGUAGAAAUCAAACUAGAUACUCAAAACAAAACAUAUCAAUAUAUUUACACCGACAAAAUAAAAAACAGCUCAUUAAAUUUUAACAUUAUAAUAUGAAAUUUAAUUAACCGUACCGAAAAAUCAAACAUCAAACAAUUUUAACCAUAACAGUUGAUAAACAUAAUAAGAAAAAUCAAAGAAACAACAUUUAAAAUGAUACAGAGUAAAAAUUUAAUAAUAAACAUAAAUUUAAAAAAAUAUUUAAUGUUUCAUAGUGUUUUGUAAUUUAAAAAUCUAUGUGUCUUAUUGAUAUCAUUAAACUAAAAUAAAAAUUAAGAGAAAUUAAAUAAUUAUGUUUUUAAUAAAUAAUAUAAUUAGACAAGUUUAUAAUUGCCAAUAUGGAUUUUAAAAUACAUAGAUAAGUUUUUUGAAAAAAAGAUUAUGAAUCCUAUUGGGAUUUUUGGUUAAAAGUAAAUUUAUAUUAUUAUUUGAUUAUUCGUCUGCCCGUAAGGCGGGUUUACCCUAGUCUUAUACUAUAAAGAAGAGAUUAUCUUCUUCCCCUUUUGCCACGUCAUAAAAUAGAGGAAGGAGGAGUCAACACCUGUCCUUUUAAUGUAAAACUAAAUCAACCAUCAUUGAAUAGCUAUAUUCAUUUCUCACAUAAGAUGCAAAAUUGUUUAAACUAAAUAGAUUUUGAUAUAACAUGUGAUGAUUAUUGUAAUAGGAGGGACAUGAGGGAUAAGGAUGGAGACAGUGUGGAUAUUGGCAAAGAGAAGUGCUCAUGUGGUGAUUGGUGCCAAGAGUGUGUGUUCCCAGCAACUAAAACCAUUAUUAUCUCACAAGAGCUUACACACAUUAUAUUGCACGCCAACUUCAAGUGACGUUUACAGAGACAAACACAUAAAUCUAAGUGUAAGUGAAUCUAUUAGACAGGUUACUACUGAUAAAGGUGAAGCUAGGGAAAGCAAGUGGAGGUUUCAUUAUUUUGAAAUUUAAGAUGACUUGGAUUCUGGUGAUUGUGAUAACUUUUAGCUCCUUAAUUAUUUGAGUUUGUACAUGGUCAAUUUUCAAUUUCAGUCGUUAGUGUGUAUAGUUUUAUCACCUCUUAUGUGACUUGAAACUUGGUCGCCUGAGAACAAAGACAGUCUUCUUCCAAGCUUUCGGAUAUUUUUACACCAUUGUGCAUUUGCUUAUUGUUUCCAAACUGAUGCUGGGUAGAUUCAAUCAUUUGUCUUCUUUACUUGAAUUUCUAGGGAAUGUGGAAGGGCUGAAAUUAGAGGGUAAAUAUGAAUGUCUUCAUGUCAGGGUUGUAUUUCAUGUACUUAAUGUUUUUGGAAUGCGUAUUUUUCUAAAACUUGAUAGAAGAUGAAUUUAUUUGUCAAAUUUAAGAAUGAUAGAGAUGGCCCUCAUGUUAAAAUCUAGAAAGUACAGAGUAUAAGGGCAUCUCCAACCCUACUCCAAAACCCACUCCAAACUCUAUUUUGCAGUAAAAUCAUCUUCAACCCCACUCCAAAACCUAUUCCAAAAUGGAGUAAUAGAUAUGAUUACUCUAAAUAUGAAGUUUAUACAUGGGGAUGGAAGGAAUGUAUACCCACAGGAAGAGUGUUUGGACAAGUGGAAGGAGAUUCGUGUGAAAUGAACACCUCCUUCUCCGCAGAACAAGGUAAAUCUCUUUUGCAUGUUAAAAUAUCUUAUGUAAUGACUGGUCUUAUAUCUCAUGUUCCAAGUGCUUCCAAAAGUUUCAACGCAGGUUCUCAUCUUCCACAUGUGCAUCAUGUAAUGAUGUAACACUGUUGGGAUUGUAAGGUAGUCCAUGUUGAACACAUUUCCAUUCACUCUCUCUAAGUAAUUUAAAACCAAUCUCAUUCCCAUACGUCAUAACAAGUUAUUGGGUGAAAAUGGCAUUCUCUGAUGCGUACGACUCUGCUAUGUUUGUGGGUAUUAAUGGUGAGAUGAACAAACUGACAAGCCUUUCUGCUGCUGCAGUUUCUCAAGCGAUGGUUGCAGAUACUAAUUCCCUUUCUUCUCUCUUUGCUGCUUUAUUAGAGACCUUAGUCCAUGUACUUAAACCUAUUUGACAUAUAUAAGACGCAGGGAUGGCAAACCACAUAACCUUAACCUUCCAUGCCAAGCUCUCUAAGUUCAGACUUUUCAUCAAACAUAAAUCAUUCACCCUAGC
rnacentral:lncRNA from 1 species